rfam:Veillonella sp. CAG:933 genomic scaffold, scf169
AUAUUAUCAAGAGUGAUGGAGGGACUGGCCCUAUGAAAUCCGGCAACCAUUCGAUGGUGCUAAAUCCUGCGGCAUGUCCCGAGAGAUAACAA